rnacentral:rRNA from 1 species
CCCUUAGAUGUUCUGGGCUGCACGCGCGCUACACUGAUACUUUCAGCGAGUCCACCACCUUGCCUGGGAGGGUGGGGUAACCUCUGGAAAGUGCAUCGUGAUGGGGAUCGAUUAUUGUAAUUAUUAAUCUUCAACGAGGAAUUCCUAGUAAGCAUGUGUCAUCAGCCCGCGCUGAAUACGUCCCUGCCCUUUGUACACACCGCCCGUCGCUCCUACCGAUUGAGCGAUCCGGUGAAUGUUUUGGACUGGCGUCAGAAGCGGUUCGCUCCUGACACUACGAAAUUUUGUAAACCUUAUCGCUUAGAGGAAGGAAAAGUCGUAACA